rnacentral:rRNA from 1 species
UAGAGUUUGAUCCUGGCUCAGAACGUACGCUGGCGGCACGCCUAACACAUGCAAGUCGAACGAAGUAGCAAUACUUAGUGGCAGACGGGUGAGUAACAUGUGGGUAUCUGCCCUUUGGCCUGGAAUAACACGAGGAAACUUGUGCUAAUACCGGAUAAGUCUUUACAGAGAAAGCUUUAUGCACCAUUGGAUGAGCCCGCACUUGAUUAGUUUGUUGGUGGGGUAAUGGCCUACCAAGACUGUGAUCAAUAGCUGAUUUGAGAGGAUGAUCAGCCACAUUGGGACUGAGACACGGCCCAAACUCCUACGGGAGGCAGCAGUGGGGAAUCUUGCACAAUGGAGGAAACUCUGAUGCAGCGAUGCCGCGUGAGUGAAGAAGGCCCUUGGGUUGUAAAGCUCUUUCGUCGGGGAAGAAAAUGACUGUACCCGAAUAAGAAGGUCCGGCUAACUUCGUGCCAGCAGCCGCGGUAAUACGAAGGGACCUAGCGUAGUUCGGAAUUACUGGGCUUAAAGAGUUCGUAGGUGGUUGAAAAAGUUGGUGGUGAAAUCCCAGAGCUUAACUCUGGAACUGCCAUCAAAACUUUUCAGCUAGAGUAUGAUAGAGGAAAGCAGAAUUUCUAGUGUAGAGGUGAAAUUCGUAGAUAUUAGAAAGAAUACCAAUUGCGAAGGCAGCUUUCUGGAUCAUUACUGACACUGAGGAACGAAAGCAUGGGUAGCGAAGAGGAUUAGAUACCCUCGUAGUCCAUGCCGUAAACGAUGUGUGUUAGACGUUGGAAAUCUAUUUUCAGUGUCGCAGCGAAAGCGAUAAACACACCGCCUGGGGAGUACGACCGCAAGGUUAAAACUCAAAUGAAUUGACGGGGACCCGCACAAGUAGUGGAGCAUGUGGUUUAAUUCGAAGAUACGCGCAGAACCUUACCAACACUUGACAUGUUCGUCGCGACUCUAAGAGAUUAGAGUUUUCGGUUCGGCCGGACGAAACACAGGUGCUGCAUGGCUGUCGUCAGCUCGUGUCGUGAGAUGUUGGGUUAAGUCCCGCAACGAGCGCAACCCUCACUUUUAGUUGCCAUCAUUAAGUUGGGCACUCUGAAAGAACUGCCAGUGAUAAGCUGGAGGAAGGUGGGGAUGACGUCAAGUCCUCAUGGCCCUUACGUGUUGGGCUACACACGUGCUACAAUGGUAUCUACAACAGGAAGCAAGACUGCGAAGUUAAGCAAAUCCCUAAAAGAUACCUCAGUUCGGAUUGCACUCUGCAACUCGAGUGCAUGAAGCUGGAAUUACUAGUAAUCGUGGAUCAGCGUGCCACGGUGAAUGCGUUCCCGGGUCUUGUACACACCGCCCGUCACACCAUGGGAGUUGGUUCUACCUUAAGGCAAGGUUUUAAACCCUUGACCACGGUAUAGUCAGCGACUGGGGUGAAGUCGUAACAAGGUAACCA